rnacentral:rRNA from 1 species
UACGGGGGGAGCAAGCGUUGUUCGGAUUUACUGGGCGUAAAGGGCGCGUAGGCGGUCAUGACAAGUCAGUUGUGAAAUCUCUGGGCUUAACUCAGAACGGUCAACUGAUACUGUCAGACUAGAGUGCAGAAGGGGCAACUGGAAUUCUCGGUGUAGCGGUGAAAUGCGUAGAUAUCGAGAGGAACACCUGCGGCGAAGGCGGGUUGCUGGGCUGACACUGACGCUGAGGCGCGAAAGCUAGGGGAGCGAACGGG